AUGUGGAAAGUAGAACUGUGGUUUCUAAAGUUCAUACCGAUACAGCAGCCUGUAUCGACUGAAGAGAAUUGGCCCAAGUUUAAGUUAAGAGGCAUGUGGCAGCAAAAGCUUGAGGUGAAACAAGAUUCACAGAAUCAAAAUCUUGGAGGUGACAUUAGCAGAGCAAUAAUUUCUGUGUGUGUGUGUGUGCCAUGUCAGCAAUUUGAUUCAACAAGGUGAAAACUUUGUGUGGGGCCUGGAGAAUAUAAAAACUUUGGAAUCGGUCAUUUCAGGGAAUGAAGGGAAUAUUGGUUCUCAUCAUACCUACCCACCAGAGUGUGAGUUCACGGAUUACAAGAUCUCACCAUGUAGCCCGGUGUGGACUGGAGCUUUCUGUACAGACCAGGCUGACCUGGAAAUCGGAGAGUUCCUGCCUCUGCCUCCUGAGUGCUGGAAUGAAAGCAUUUAGAGAAGUCGUUCAUGUCCGGAAAAGGAAAAGAAAGCCUAAUAAUUAAUUCCACUUAGCCUUCCCUAUCGAUGAGUCACAACACAAGCUCUGUUUGAUGAGCUCCUUUCCUGGAACCUGUGCUGCGAAAGGGGUUCUUGUAGAAGGAGUGCCCUGUAGGUACGAACUUGUGGAACAUGAUCUUACUACUCUUCAAGAUCUAAAGUCCAGAUAAAUCCUGUGUCUAAUCACUUGUCUUCAGGCCUGAAUAAAGUUAAAUAAAUUUACGACUAGCCUCCCUCGGCAUAUCUGGAAAACACAACAAAGAAAAGCCAGGAGAUGAAUUUGGCUUUAGUUUGCUGUCUUCUCUUGCCACGAUGUCUUGUCCCAUUUUUCUGCCCCACGAAGCCGUUCUUCUCCUUCCAGGCCUGCGUUAGAGUCUGUCUUCGGAAUGCCCUCACCUACCUUUCUUUUAUUUGUUUGCGGGUUUCAGUGUGUGUUGUGUAUGUCCUUUGCUUUGUUCUGUCUAUUGGGCCAAGGCCUCCUUCUGUAGCCCAGGCCAGCCGUGAGCUUGUGGCUGCCGUCCUGCCUCCCCUCUGAGGUGCUCACAUGACAGAGGACAGAAUCAUGCACAGUUUGGUUUUUUAAUUUUUGUAUUUUUUAAUCAUGUAUACGUGUUUGUCUCCUUGCUUUUGUGACCGUGGAUGUACUGCAUACAGAGCCCGGAAGAGGGCUGCUGGUGCCCUGGACUUGGACUUACAGGCAGCUUGAGAGUCCUCAGAUCUCAGCACCCUUCCUCUCUGAGCCAUCCUGCAGCCCCUGCUUGUUUGUUUUCAGGAUUUUUGCUUCUCACUGCGUAGCUCCUAGGGUGGCCUUGUUUGUGAUUCUGCUUCCUUAGCCUAUUGAAAGUGAAGGUUGCUAAUACGUACAACAGGGGGGUUGUAGUUAGGCACCUGCACGUGGCAUGUUUCAUGUAUCUGAGCCUUGUUUCCUGAAGAAAAUAAUGCUAAUGCUAAUAUUUCAGAAGUUUAGAGGUAGAUUAACGUGUAUCACUGGACCAAGCAGGCCACAAAGUUUGUGAAACUACCUUUUUUUUUUUCAUAUUAGUUUUCUGUUUUUCUUGCCCUUGUUUUUAUUUCAAGUGUCACGCUGUGCUGUGUUUAUCAGUGGAAAAAUCUUUUUCAUAUUUGCCUCCAAAUCCUAGGGAAAUACUGCUUGUGUUAGCUUGGGGUUACUGUGACAAGUACCUGCAGUAGUCGGCUUGUGGAAAGUUCUUUCUGGCUUUACUGUCCAGAUUUCCAUCCAUGGUCGGUUGGUCCUUUGGUCCCUGACAUGGCCGUGGGGCACAGUGGCCAUCUGGCAUAGGAUUGCUGUGGUUUGAGUGUCCCUGAAGACGAUGUGUUCAAGGCCUCCUUCCUGUUUUUUUUGUUUGUUUUUCCUGUCGUUGUUGUUGAGGGAGGUCUUUUGACAGAAACUCACCAGGGAACAUAUUUCUUAACUGACUCAGUAUUCCAUCACCCAGCUUGGGUCUGCUGUUACUAUGUGCUCGUGGGGCGUGUCUGAGAGGUGGUGAGCAAGAGCAGAUGGAAUCUUCCAACCCAUGUUGGCAGAUAAACUGUUACAAAUUUCACAGUAGCUCCAGCAAAGCAAUAGUCUAGGGGAACCUGUAUUUUGUUAUUAUUGUCUAUUUUGGAGUAAUGGGUUUUGAACCCAUGACUUGCUAGACAAGUGCUGCUUGGAGAGCCUUGUACAGAGUCCUUUGCACACACGGUUCAGUUCAAC